rnacentral:lncRNA from 1 species
CGCUGUCACCGCGCUCCGGCCCCGGGGCUGCGCUGCUCUGCGCGUCCCCGCGGCUCCGUGCGCGUCCCCGCGGUCCCGGGUCCACGGGUCCCCGUGUGCACCUGUGUCCCCGUGUCCCCGUGUCCCCGUGUCCGCUGUCCCCACGACCCGACGUCCCCAUGUUCCAGUGUCUUUGUGCCCCAAUGUCCCCGUGUCCCCAAUGUCCCCGUGUCCCCAUGUCCCCACAUCCCCUUGUCCCCAUGUUCCAAUGUCCCCAAUGUCUCCAUGUCCCCGUGUCCCAAUGUCCCCAUGUCCCCACGCCCCCAUGUCCCCAUGUCCCCAGUGUCCGCUGUCCCCACGUCCCCACGUCCCCACGUCCCCAUGUUCCAGUGUCUUUGUGCCCCAAUGUCCCCGUGUCCCCACGUCCCUGUGUCCCCACAUCCCCUUGUCCCCGUGUUCCAAUGUCCCCAGUGUCCCCAUGUCCCCGUGUCCCCAAUGUCCCCGUGUCCCAAUGUCCCCAUGUCCCCAAUGUCUCCAUGUCCCCACACCCCCAUGUCCCCAUGUUCCAAUGUCUCUGUGUCCCGAUGUCCCCAUGUCCCAUUGAUCAUUCCCCAUUGAUCAUUUCCCAUUGA